rnacentral:snRNA from 1 species
GUGCUCACUUCCGCAGCGCGUAUACUAAAAAUCGGAAUGAUACAGAGAAGAUUAGCAUGGCCCCACACAAGGAUGACAUAUAAAUUAGUGAAGCAUUCCAUUUAUAA